CUCUCUCUCCUCCUCUGCUCUCUCUCUCUCUCUCUCUCUGUGUGUCUGUCUCUCUCUCUGAUUCAGUCGCUCCCGCGCCGUAAGUUCAUUUGCUGUGUCAAGCAACAACUGGUUCGGAAGUGGGCAGCGGGUUUUGAUCCUUUUGUCAGCCGUUCCCCCUUACGAGGGCGUACCGCAUCCACCUGCACAGCACGGGACUGGCUGCCUGGCUCUGUCUCUCGCCUGCAAACUAACCCCUUCGGAUGCUGCCAGAUCCAUCGCCGAUCCGUCCUGGGUUUAUCACGAUCAGGCAUCCCACCUUGCUGCCGUUUGAGCUGGGCGGGCGGUGGAACGAGAUGCUGCAGGUUUGACAGGGGCGACCCGACAAAGUGGACUAUCAUCUGUAGGAUUGCCGUAGAAAUGGGAGUCAGGACAUGGAAACCCAUCGGAGGAGCUCCACAAGGGCCGGACCCCCAAGGUCCUUGCAUCCCAGACGAGCCGUUGAGGGUCCCUUGCCUUGCGCUACAAAGCGUCUUCAAUCAAUUGUUUUGAAAAGGCCUUUCCUUUUUCCGACGAUGCUGGCGGUUCAGUCGUUUCUCUCUGUUAAAGACUCUCUUCGGUGACGGGUAUUCUUGGGUGGAUAAUACGGCUCUCGUUGUUAUUGCUUAAGAAUACGCGUAGUCGAGGAGAGUCAUGUCAGCGGCGCCUGCUCCGGAUUCGAAGGCCCAUUUGCAAAGUUCACACCCUCAUCCACUUUGAGUCAGCAAAGCUGCAUUUCCUUGCUGUGUCCGUUCACCGGACACGUUGCACAGGCGAACGACAAACGAGAUUUGUAUUUGUAUUCAUGUGGUGUUUUAGAGUUUUUGCUUUUCAUGUGUGCAUCGAGCCGGUUCGCUUUCCCCACUCAUGAAAGCGGUGUAUUGUAGCAGGCCGGGCGGGGUUGCGGAUGCAAAUGUGUUUGGUUUGUGCCAUAUAUAUAUAUAUAUAUUAUUUUCCCAAGACCACACGAUCCACCUUUUUAAUGCAAAUUGAUUUUGAAAUGACAUUUAUCGUGCAGGGUUUCCAUAUGGAAGUUCAUAGCUCCAGGAGGGCUUGCAAAAAAUUGAAUGAAAUGUCCAGAACGCAGUGACAGCUAAAUUUAUGCGCUGGUAUAGGGAGACGGAUUGUAAAGGAACACACUGCAGAUAAACAGUUACCAUGGGCUUAGAUUGACUGUGGCGUGUAGGCACGCAUAUAUCAUGAAUAUGUAUCAGCCGUGCGUAUCAUGGUGCAUUCUAACGUCCAUGAAAAUCCAUUUAAGGAACCUAAUAGGAUCUACUUGACUUACGAAAGCUUACAAUCAGACGUAUCGCAUCUUAUAAAUAUACAUGAGGUUUUCUCAUAGGUUUUUUGUUCAUCUCCAAAAAGUCUUUUUUUUUUUUUCAAGAAUGACACGAAAACAAACAGAUUGCAUUUGGACCGGCUGUUGAUGUAUUGACGUGGAGGAUUUGUACAUCUGCAAACAUUUUAAUUCGUUCUCCAUUAUCAUUUUGCACGUUUAAGUGAUGUAUUAGCAUUUCAGAUAGACUAAAAGCAACAAUCAGGAAGCACUCUCUGUAAUUAUGCUUCUUUCGUCUAUGUGUUUAUAAAUGAACAUAGAGAAAAGAGGUGUAGAUAGAGAUGAGGAAUAUGAAUGAAUAUAUUGUUUUGGAAUUACACAACUGAGAAGAGAUUAGAUCAGUGUUUAGUCAACAUCUUAGUUUGUUUUCGAUAGAAAUGUGUUUUUACAGUUUAAUGAGCCAUUAAAAAUAUCUGCUUUGCUUAUUUUAUCAUUAUAAAUAGGACAGCUAACAGGUCUUAGCUGCAUGUUAGCAUGUAUCAUCAGAAAAUAUCAUAUUUUAUAAAUAGUCUAUUUUAUACACUAUAUUUUUAUAUAUAUUUAUAAAUACUAUAAUUUUUGUAAUUUUUCAGUAAUAGUCUUUUAGCUCUAAUGUUUGAAAACACAUUAAUACAGUUAUUACUGCUAUAAUUUGUAUUGGUUGAUUUGUGUUUACUAAAUAUCUUUAGCUGAUUUCACUGUACAUGAUUCACACUGAUGAGCAGUUCAUGACAUGAUGAAAUGAUUCAGGCCUUAAUUUCCUCUUUAUUGAAAUGAUCUUUAUGUGCACAAAUGUUUCUCCCACUCAUAUCACUAAUAAAGCUUGACUUAAGUUCA